GGGUCAGUAGGUUGGUCAUGCCACAGGUAUGAACUGGUCUCGCUGAUCCCUCCCUCUUGACGAACUGUGAUGCCAUUAAUUUGGUGUCGCAGGGAAUCAGGACUGUUACUUUGAAAAAAUUAGAGUGUUUAAAGCAGGCAUUAGCUUGAAUACAUUAGCAUGGAAUAAUGAAAUAGGACGUUUGAUCCUAUUUUGUUGGUUUCUAGGAUUGACGUA
rnacentral:rRNA from 1 species